UGAGUAACCUGUCCUCGGCACCGGGAUAGCCCCGGGGGAAAACCCGGAUUAAUACCGGAUGGCCUUUCGAGUCUUCGGGCUCGUCAGAAAAGGUAGCUUCGGCCUCCGGCCGAGGAGGGACUCGCGGCGGAUUAGCUUGUUGGUGGGGUAACGGCUCACCAAGGCUUCGACGGGUAGCCGGCCUGAGAGGGUGAUCGGCCACAUUGGAACUGAGACACGGUCCAGACUCCUACGGGAGCAG
rnacentral:rRNA from 1 species